rnacentral:misc_RNA from 1 species
GCUCACUUGCGUUCCUAUUAGCUGAUAUUGUUUCACGUCAUCUAGGAGAUUGUCACUUGCUUCAAAAUAGACAUGUUGAUGAUCAUAUUUGUUGUUUAUUAGAUAAUUUUCCAUGCUAUGUGAACACAACAAAUGAAGUGAUGUUCUUAGCAUUAGUGUUUUUGGAAAGUUAUUAACUUGAAAAAUUAGAUGUUAUGAAAGAAUUGUUUGUUGCAACAAGAUUUGGAGUUGGAUAUUAGCCUAAAAACUAAAGUUAUUAAA